rnacentral:rRNA from 1 species
GACGAACGCUGGCGGCGUGCUUGACACAUGCAAGUCGAACGGAAAGGCCCUGCUUUUGUGGGGUGCUCGCGUGGCGAACGGGUGAGUAACACGUGAGUAACCUGCCCUUGACUUUGUGAUAACUUCAGGAAACUGGUGCUAAUACCUGAUAGGAGCUCCUGCUGCAUGGUGGGGGUUGGAAAGUUUCGGCGGUUGGGGAUGGACUCGCGGCUUAUCAGCUUGUUGGUGGGGUAGUGGCUUACCAAGGCUUUGACGGGUAGCCGGCCUGAGAGGGUGACCGGCCACAUUGGGACUGAGAGACGGCCCGGACUCCUACGGGAGGCAGCAGUGGGGAAUAUUGCACAAUGGGCGGAAGCCUGAUGCAGCAACGCCGCGUGCGGGAUGACGGCCUUCGGGUUGUAAACCGCUUUCGCCUGUGACGAAGCGUGAGUGACGGUAAUGGGUAAAGAAGCACCGGCUAACUACGUG